CCUACGGGUGGCAGCAGUGAGGAAUAUUGGUCAAUGGGCUUACGCCUGAACCAGCCAAGUCGCGUGAGGGAAGACUGCCCUAUGGGUUGUAAACCUCUUUUGUCAGGGAGCAACGCCGGCUACGUGUAGCCGGACUGAGAGUACCUGAAGAAAAAGCAUCGGCUAACUCCGUGCCAGCAGCCGCGGUAAUACGGAGGAUGCGAGCGUUAUACGGAUUUAUUGGGUUGAAAGGGUGCGUAGGCGGAAUGCCAAGUCAGCGGUAAAAUCGCGGGGCUCAACCGCGCUCCGACGUUGAAACUGGCGUGCUUGAGUGGGCGAGAGGUAGGCGGAAUGCGUGGUGUAGCGGUGAAAGGCAUAGAUAUCACGAAGAACUCCGAUUGCGAAGGCAGCAUACCGGCGCCCAACUGACGCUGAGGCACGAAAGCGUGGGUAUCGAACAGGAUUAGAUACCCCAGUAGUC
rnacentral:rRNA from 1 species